CUGAUGAGAAGCCAAGAAACUUUGAGACAUCAAGCCAUUAAUUCAUUAUGCUUUCCAGUUUAGUGUUUGUAUGAGAAUCUUAAAUGUGCAAAAAGUGCUACAUUUCUUUUGGUAAGACGAAAGCAAAUAUACUUAUAAAUCAUUGUAUUAUAGGUAAUAAUGUAAAAUCAAUACUUCCUUGCUCUCUACGUUGGUAAAUUUCAUUUUGCAAUAACUGAAUAAAAUACCAGCA